rnacentral:rRNA from 1 species
UACAGAGGGUGCGAGCGUUAAUCGGAAUUACUGGGCGUAAAGCGCACGUAGGCGGAUUGCUAAGUCAGGGGUGAAAUCCUGGGAGCUCAACUCCAGAACUGCCUUUGAUACUGGCGACCUUGAGUCCGGGAGAGGUGAGUGGAACUGCGAGUGUAGAGGUGAAAUUCGUAGAUAUUCGCAAGAACACCAGUGGCGAAGGCGGCUCACUGGCCCGGUACUGACGCUGAGGUGCGAAAGCGUGGGGAGCAAACAGG